rnacentral:rRNA from 1 species
CCUACGGGAGGCAGCAGUGAGGAAUAGUGGUCAAUGGACGGAAGUCUGAACCAGCCAUGCCGCGUGCAGGAAGACGGCUCUAUGAGUUGUAAACUGCUUUUGUACAAGGGUAAACCGGAAUACGUGUAGGCAGCUGAAAGGACUGUACGAAUAAGGAUCGGCUAACUCCGUGCCAGCAGCCGCGGUAAUACGGAGGAUCCAAGCGUUAUCCGGAUUUAGUGGGUUUAAAGGGUGCGUAGGCGGAUUGAUAAGGUAGAGGUGCAAUGUCCGUGCUUCACUCGGGAACUGCCUCUCAUACUGUUGAUCUAGAGAGUAGCUGCGGUAGGCGGCAUGUAUUGUGUAGCCGU